rnacentral:rRNA from 1 species
GAUGAACGCUGACAGAAUGCUUAACACAUGCAAGUCAACUUGAACUUCGGUUUGGGUGGCGGACGGGUGAGUAACGCGUAAAGAACUUGCCUCACAGCUAGGGACAACAUUUGGAAACGAAUGCUAAUACCUGAUAUUAUGAUUUUAGGGCAUCCUAGAAUUAUGAAAGCUAUAUGCGCUGUGAGAGAGCUUUGCGUCCCAUUAGCUAGUUGGAGAGGUAACGGCUCACCAAGGCGAUGAUGGGUAGCCGGCCUGAGAGGGUGAUCGGCCACAAGGGGACUGAGACACGGCCCUUACUCCUACGGGAGGCAGCAGUGGGGAAUAUUGGACAAUGGACCAAGAGUCUGAUCCAGCAAUUCUGUGUGCACGAUGAAGUUUUUCGGAAUGUAAAGUGCUUUCAGUUGGGAAGAAAAAAAUGACGGUACCAACAGAAGAAGUGACGGCUAAAUACGUGCCAGCAGCCGCGGUAAUACGUAUGUCACAAGCGUUAUCCGGAUUUAUUGGGCGUAAAGCGCGUCUAGGUGGUUAUAUAAGUCUGAUGUGAAAAUGCAGGGCUCAACUCUGUAUUGCGUUGGAAACUGUGUAACUAGAGUACUGGAGAGGUAAGCGGAACUACAAGUGUAGAGGUGAAAUUCGUAGAUAUUUGUAGGAAUGCCGAUGGGGAAGCCAGCUUACUGGACAGAUACUGACGCUGAAGCGCGAAAAGCGUGGGGUAGCAAACAGG